rnacentral:rRNA from 1 species
GCUUCCACUGAGAAGAUAGUGGCGAACGGGUGAGUAACACGUGGGUAACCUGCCCAUAAGAGGGGGGAUAACGAUCCGGAAACGGGUGCUAAUACCGCAUAGUUUUCUUGAUCGCAUGAUCGGGAAAGGAAAGACGGCCUUUGUGCUGUCGCUUAUGGAUGGACCCGCGGCGUAUUAGUUAGUUGGUGAGGUAACGGCUCACCAAGACGAUGAUACGUAGCCGACCUGAGAGGGUGAUCGGCCACAUUGGGACUGAGACACGGCCCAAACUCCUACGGGAGGCAGCAGUAGGGAAUCUUCCGCAAUGGACGAAAGUCUGACGGAGCAACGCCGCGUGAGUGAAGAAAAGGUUUUCGGAUCGUAAAACUCUGUUGUCAGAGAAGAACAAGUUGGAGAGUAACUGCUCCAGCCUUGACGGUAUCUGACCAGAAAGCCACGGCUAACUACGUGCCAGCAGCCGC